UUGCUGCUUUGCUGACGAGUGGCGGACGGGUGAGUAAUGUCUGGGAAACUGCCUGAUGGAGGGGGAUAACUACUGGAAACGGUAGCUAAUACCGCAUAACGUCGCAAGACCAAAGAGGGGGACCUUCGGGCCUCUUGCCAUCGGAUGUGCCCAGAUGGGAUUAGCUAGUAGGUGGGGUAACGGCUCACCUAGGCGACGAUCCCUAGCUGGUCUGAGAGGAUGACCAGCCACACUGGAACUGAGACACGGUCCAGACUCCUACGGGAGGCAGCAGUGGGGAAUAUUGCACAAUGGGCGCAAGCCUGAUGCAGCCAUGCCGCGUGUAUGAAGAAGGCCUUCGGGUUGUAAAGUACUUUCAGCGGGGAGGAAGGGAGUAAAGUUAAUACCUUUGCUCAUUGACGUUACCCGCAGAAGAAGCACCGGCUAACUCCGUGCCAGCAGCCGCGGUAAUACGGAGGGUGCAAGCGUUAAUCGGAAUUACUGGGCGUAAAGCGCACGCAGGCGGUUUGUUAAGUCAGAUGUGAAAUCCCCGGGCUCAACCUGGGAACUGCAUCUGAUACUGGCAAGCUUGAGUCUCGUAGAGGGGGGUAGAAUUCCAGGUGUAGCGGUGAAAUGCGUAGAGAUCUGGAGGAAUACCGGUGGCGAAGGCG
rnacentral:rRNA from 1 species